rnacentral:rRNA from 1 species
CCUACGGGGGGCAGCAGUGGGGAAUAUUGGACAAUGGGCGCAAGCCUGACCCAGCAACGCCGCGUGAAGGAAGAAGGCUUUCGGGUUGUAAACUUCUUUUGUCAGGGAAGAGUAGAAGACGGUACCUGACGAAUAAGCCACGGCUAACUACGUGCCAGCAGCCGCGGUAAUACGUAGGUGGCAAGCGUUGUCCGGAUUUACUGGGUGUAAAGGGCGUGUAGCCGGGUUGACAAGUCAGAUGGGAAAUCCUGCGGCUUAACCGCAGAACUGCAUUUGAAACUGUUGAUCUUGAGUACUGGAGAGGCAGACGGAAGUCCUAGUGUAGCGGUGAAAUGCGUAGAUAUUAGGAGGAACACCAGUGGCGAAGGCGGUCUGCUGGACAGCAACUGACGGUGAGGCGCGAAAGCGUGGGGAGCAAACAGGAUUAGAUACCCUUGUAGUC